AUUGAACGCUGGCGGCAUGCUUUACACAUGCAAGUCGAACGGUAACAGGGGAGCUUGCUCCCGCUGACGAGUGGCGAACGGGUGAGUAAUGCAUCGGAACGUGCCGAAUAGUGGGGGAUAACGCACCGAAAGGUGUGCUAAUAACGCAUACGCCCUGAGGGGGAAAGUGGGGGAACGCAGGGCUCCACGCUAAUCGAGAGGCCGACGUCGGAUUAGCUAGUUGGUGGGGUAAAGGCUCACCAAGGCGACGAUCCGUAGCGGGUCUGAGAGGAUGAUCCGCCACACUGGGACUGGGACACGGCCCAGACUCCUACGGGAGGCAGCAGUGGGGAAUUUUGGACAAUGGGGGAAACCCUGAUCCAGCCAUGCCGCGUGUCUGAAGAAGGCCUUCGGGUUGUAAAGGACUUUUGUCCGGGAGGAAACCCUGAUCGUUAAUAGCGGUCGGGACUGACAGUACCGGAAGAAUAAGCACCGGCUAACUACGUGCCAGCCGCCGCGGUAAAAC
rnacentral:rRNA from 1 species